AUUGAACGCUGGCGGCAGGCCUAACACAUGCAAGUCGAACGGUAACAGGAAGAAGCUUGCUUCUUUGCUGACGAGUGGCGGACGGGUGAGUAAUGUCUGGGAAACUGCCUGAUGGAGGGGGAUAACUACUGGAAACGGUAGCUAAUACCGCAUAACGUCGCAAGACCAAAAAGGGGGACCUUCGGGCCUCUUGCCAUCGGAUGUGCCCAGAUGGGAUUAGCUAGUAGGUGGGGUAACGGCUCACCUAGGCGACGAUCCCUAGCUGGUCUGAGAGGAUGACCAGCCACACUGGAACUGAGACACGGUCCAGACUCCUACGGGAGGCAGCAGUGGGGAAUAUUGCGCAAAGGGCGCAAGCCUGAUGCAGCCAUGCCGCGUGUAUGAAGAAGGCCUUCGGGUUGUAAAGUACUUUCAGCGGGGAGGAAGGGAGUAAAGUUAAUACCUUUGCUCAUUGACGUUACCCGCAGAAGAAGCACCGGCUAACUCCGUG
rnacentral:rRNA from 1 species